rnacentral:rRNA from 1 species
GAUGAACGCUGGCGGCGUGCCUAAUACAUGCAAGUCGAGCGAACAGACGAGGAGCUUGCUCCUCUGACGUUAGCGGCGGACGGGUGAGUAACACGUGGAUAACCUACCUAUAAGACUGGGAUAACUUCGGGAAACCGGAGCUAAUACCGGAUAAUAUAUUGAACCGCAUGGUUCAAUAGUGAAAGACGGUCUUGCUGUCACUUAUAGAUGGAUCCGCGCCGCAUUAGCUAGUUGGUAAGGUAACGGCUUACCAAGGCGACGAUGCGUAGCCGACCUGAGAGGGUGAUCGGCCACACUGGAUCUGAGACACGGUCCAGACUCCUGCGGGAGGCAGCAGUAGGGAAUCUUCCGCAAUGGGCGAAAGCCUGACGGAGCAACGCCGCGUGAGUGAUGAAGGUCUUCGGAUCGUAAAGCUCUGUUAUUAGGGAAGAACAAAUGUGUAAGUAACUAUGCACGUCUUGACGGUACCUAAUCAGAAAGCCACGGCUAACUACGUG